AGUAUAGUGGCGCACGGGUGAGUAACACGUAGGUAACCUACCUCAAAGCGGGGGAUAACCAGAAGAAAUUCUAGCUAAUACCGCAUAAGCACUACGGUGUAAAGAUGGCCUCUCCUUGGAAGCUAUCACUUUGAGAUGAGCCCGCGCCCGAUUAGCUAGUUGGUGGGGUAAAAGCCUACCAAGGCUACGAUCGGUAGCUGGUCUGAGAGGAUGAUCAGCCACACUGGGACUGAGACACGGCCCAGACUCC
rnacentral:rRNA from 1 species